AAAAUUGUUGGGAUAUUUAGAAGUGAUGUAAAUAUAAUAGAUUAGUGGUGUGUAGAUAAAUUUUCACUUCAGGGUUAUCACCCGAAGUUCAAAUUUAUACUAUUAUUAAUUAUCAACUGGGUUUACAAUAAAAUUUAAAUAAAUAAAAUAUUUGGUAUGAACGAGCUGAGAAGAAAAAUCCUGCCGACGUCUGGUUCUUCCGUGAAAGGAACACGAUUACUGUAUUUCGUCCUUCACCUUAUAUUGUUCUUGUAAUUAGCGAAACCCAACUGAAAAUUUAAAGCCUUUUAAAGCCCCAUUGACAGUCCUUACUAAUUUCUUUUUUAUAUAUCAGCUUCGAAUCUACUUAUAAAUAAUCUACAUACACUUCUCUGUUUCUCUUGCUCGCUUUGUGUUUGUGAAAACUCCGAAGCGAGGGUAUGGCUUUAUCGGCGGCAGUUGUGAUCUUGCCGUUGGGGGUUCUCUUCUUCAUCUCAGGCCUUGUUGUCAAUUUAUUUCAGGCAGUCUGCUUCGCCCUCAUUCGGCCGUUUUCGAAGAACACCUACAGAAGGAUUAACAGAGCUCUUGCUCAAUUGUUGUGGCUGGAACUUGUGUGGCUGGUUGACUGGUGGGCAGGAGUUAAGAUAAAAUUAUUUACUGAUCCAGAAACCUUUCAUUUAAUGGGUAAAGAACAUGCACUUCUUGUAUCAAAUCAUAGAAGUGACAUCGAUUGGCUCGUCGGGUGGGUUUUGGCUCAGCGGUCAGGUUGCCUUGGCAGUGCCUUGGCUGUAAUGAAGAACUCUUUAAAAGUCCUUCCAGUUAUUGGUUGGUCAAUGUGGUUUUCUGAGUAUCUUUUUCUAGAAAGAAGCUGGGCGAAAGAUGAAUACACAUUGAAGACAGGUCUUUUACAGCUAGAAGACUUCCCUCAGCCCUUUUGGUUGGCUCUCUUUGUUGAAGGAACACGCUUUACAAAGGCAAAGCUUUUAGCAUCUCAGGAAUAUGCAGCCUCAACUGGAUUGCCUGUUCCUAGAAAUGUUUUGAUUCCUCGGACCAAGGGGUUUGUUACAGCUGUAAGUCAUAUGCGUUCAUUUGUCCCAGCCAUUUAUGAUGUAACAGUUGCUAUUCCAAAAGGUUCACCUCCACCUACAAUGCUUAGACUAAUCAUGGGGCAGUCUUCCGUGGUCCAUGUGCAUCUUAAACGGCAUAUGAUGAAGGAUUUACCUGAGACAGAUGAAGCUGUUGCUCAAUGGUGUAGAGAAAUGUUUGUGGCCAAGGAUGCUUUAUUGGACAAACAUUUGGCUGCAGACACCUUCAGCGGCCAAGAACAACAGGAUAUUGACAGGCCAUUAAAGUCACUUGUUGUUGUUUCCUCUUGGACAUGUCUGCUUGUUAUGGGUACUCUGAAGUUCCUCCAAUGGCCGUCUCUUCUUUCCUCCUGGAAGGGCAUUGCAUUCUCAGCACUUGGUUUGGCCAUCGUUACUGUCGUGAUGCACAUCUUGAUUCGAUUCUCUCAGGCAGAACAUUCAACCGCUGCAAAGGUUGUGCCAGUGAAGCCAAAGACCAGUGGAGAGUCGUCAGAGAGUGGACAAGACAAACAACAGUAAAAGUAACCAUUCGUUCUGUAAUCCGUCACUUAACAAGUUCACCACAAGCCAUCUUGUAAACUUGCAAUACAGUGUCUCUGUAUCAAUUCCUUAUCUGCAGGCUAGGAUGCUUAUUUCCUGCUUAUAGGAUCAACACAGACUUGGGCUAGUCUUCUGUUUAUGAAUUUUCACCUCUCUCUACACAUCUAUAGAAAUUUUGAGGCUUUUUGGAAGUCGAAAA